rnacentral:rRNA from 1 species
UAGGGAAUCUUCCGCAAUGGACGCAAGUCUGACGGAGCAACGCCGCGUGAGUGAAGAAGGAUUUCGGUUCGUAAAACUCUGUUGUUAGAGAAGAACAGCGCCUAGAGUAACUGUUAUGCGUGUGACGGUAUCUAACCAGAAAGCCACGGCUAACUACGUGCCAGCAGCCGCGGUAAUACGUAGGUCCCGAGCGUUGUCCGGAUUUAUUGGGCGUAAAGCGAGCGCAGGCGGUUAGAAAAGUCUGAAGUGAAAGGCAGUGGCUCAACCAUUGUAGGCUUUGGAAACUGUGUAACUUGAGUGGAGAAGGGGAGAGUGGAAUUCCAGGUGUAGCGGUGAAAUGCGUAGUUAUAUGGAGGAAAACCAGUGGCGAAGGCGACUCUCUGGUCUGUAACUGACGCUGGGGUUCGAAGGGGGGGGUAGCAAACAGG